rnacentral:piRNA from 1 species
UCUUUGAUAGACUCAGGAAACAGGUGGAUGU